GAUGAACGCUGGCGGCGUGCCUAAUACAUGCAAGUCGAGCGAACAGACGAGGAGCUUGCUCCUCUGACGUUAGCGGCGGACGGGUGAGUAACACGUGGAUAACCUACCUAUAAGACUGGGAUAACUUCGGGAAACCGGAGCUAAUACCGGAUAACAUGUUGAACCGCAUGGUUCAACAGUGGAAGACGGUCUUGCUGUCACUUAUAGAUGGAUCCGCGCCGCAUUAGCUAGUUGGUAAGGUAACGGCUUACCAAGGCAACGAUGCGUAGCCGACCUGAGAGGGUGAUCGGCCACACUGGAACUGAGACACGGUCCAGACUCCUACGGGAGGCAGCAGUAGGGAAUCUUCCGCAAUGGGCGAAAGCCUGACGGAGCAACGCCGCGUGAGUGAAGAAGGUCUUCGGAUCGUAAAACUCUGUUAUUAGGGAAGAACAAAUGUGUAAGUAACUAUGCACGUCUUGACGGUACCUAAUCAGAAAGCCACGGCUAACUACGU
rnacentral:rRNA from 1 species